GUGCUUACUUUGUCAGCACAAAUGUGAAAAUUGGAAUGUAACAGAAAAUAUUAGAAUGGCUCCUGUGCAAGGAUAACAUUUGUAAAACAUUGCAUAUUUUU
rnacentral:snRNA from 1 species